rnacentral:rRNA from 1 species
AUUGAACGCUGGCGACAUGCCUUACACAUGCAAGUCGAACGGCAGCACGGGUGCUUGCACCUGGUGGCGAGUGGCGAACGGGUGAGUAAUACAUCGGAACAUGUCCUGUAGUGGGGGAUAGCCCGGCGAAAGCCGGAUUAAUACCGCAUACGAUCUACGGAUGAAAGCGGGGGACCUUCGGGCCUCGCGCUAUAGGGUUGGCCGAUGGCUGAUUAGCUAGUUGGUGGGGUAAAGGCCUACCAAGGCGACGAUCAGUAGCUGGUCUGAGAGGACGACCAGCAACGUGGGGAUGGAGACGCGCCCCAGAUCCCAGGGGGGGGAGGGGGGGGGAAAUUUUGGACAAGGGGGAGAGGCCUGAUCCAGAAGGGCCGGGUGGGUAAAGAAGGCCUUGGGGUGGAAAAGAAUUUUUGCCCGAAAAGAAAUCCUGGGCCCUAAUAGGGGGGGGGGAGGGCGGUGCGGAAAAAAAAAACCCGGGCUAACUCCGUG